rnacentral:lncRNA from 1 species
UGUUUUUUUUUUCACAUGCAGACAUCAAACCUGGAUAGCACGACCUUUUGGCAACAAAGAUUUUUUUUUCUUUUUAAGUCAUUAUUAUUUUUGCUUAGUUUAGCUUAAAUGUCUGAGCACAGUUUUAUUAAAACAAAAGAAGAAAAAAAUCAGAGCAGUCAUGCAAUGACAUGCACAUACCAGAAGGAGAAAGAAAAAAAAAAUAAUAAAAUAGAGGACUAAUUGAUUUUUCUCCUCCAUAGUUGGGUGGUUGUUUUAAAGUGACCAAAUAAAAUAAAAUAAAAAUAUCUCACAUUAUAAAAAGUAUUCAGCAAAAUACUGGGGUGCUUUUUUUUUUUCCCUGUAUUUCUGUAAAGAAUUUCCCUUCUGCUGAAAACAAAGAAAAAAAAAAUAAUAAUAAAAAGGAAAAUAAACCAAAAAUAAGAAAACAAACCCAAAAGCUGCUGCCGGGACAUCGCUCCCCAGAGUUGGGGGGACCCGCAGAGCCGCCCCCCGCCCCCCCAGCCUGGCUCGGGGGGCUGAGCCCUCUUACCUCCAGCACGGGGAGCCGGUGCUUGGGGACACGGGGGGGACACGGGGCUGGGGAGGGCAGCGGGAGCGCCAGGCCCAGCGAGGAGAGGAGCCAGAUGAGCUCCAUCCAUCCAUCCAUCCAUCCAUCCAUCCAUCCAUCCAUCCAUCCAUCCAUCCAUCCAUCCAUCCCCUCACGGAUCCUGGAGCGCGCAGCCCCGGGGGAGCCGGGCAGGACGGGACCGGGAUGGGGGCAGAUCCUGGAGCAGCCACCCGGACCGAGCCCCGGGAUCCGGGUCAGCCGGGAGCAUCCCCGGGAUCGGCCGCCCGGGCAGCCCCGAGCCGGGAGGCGCCGGGUGAGGGCCGGGAUGGGGCAAUCCAGCCGGGAUCCGGGCGGUGCGAGUAAUCCAGGAGCCGGGAGAGCCGGGCAAGGAGGGUGCGGGCGGUGCGGGUCCCAUCGAUCCAAGUGCAGGCAGGAUCCAGGUGCGGGCAGCCUGGACCCGGUCAAUCCGGGUGCGGGCAGAGCGGACCCGUCGCAGCGCAAGCCCGGUAUCCUGAACACCGUGGGGUUCCCCCCGGAGCGGUGCCGAGGGCAAGGGGAGGAGAAGGGGUGCCACCGCGCCGCCCCCCACAAUCCCUCAAGCGCACGUGGUGACGGCGGGGGCGAGGGCGACGGGCGGCGAGGUGGUGGCGGUGGCGGCGGGGGGCGCGGCGGGGGGCUGCACCCCCGAGCCCUUCUCGGCCUUCUUCUCCUUCUGCUUGAGGUGGAUCUUGGCGUGCCGCUUGCGCUCGUCGGAGCGGGCGAACUUGCGGCCGCAGAACUCGCAGGCGAAGGGCUUCUCGCCGGUGUGGGUGCGGAUGUGGGUGGUGAGGUGGUCGCUGCGGCUGAAGCUCCGCAUGCAGAUGCGGCACUGGAAGGGCUUGUGGCCCGUGUGGAUGCGGAGGUGACGGGUGAGCUCGUCGGAGCGGGAGAAGCGGCGGUCGCAGCCCUCGGCCGGGCAGGCGUGGGGCCGCUCGUGCAGCGGCGUCUUGCUGGGCCGGUUGGGAUACUUGCGGGGUCGGAUGGGCUUGAGCGUGAGCGGCGGCUGCGGCAGCCCCCCGAAACCCGGGUGGAUCUGCUUGUCCUUGAAGGCCUUGAUGGUCUCCAGCGGGGUGAUGGGGGGCGGGUUGACGCGGAUGGGGUCC